GACGAACGCUGGCGGCGUGCUUAACACAUGCAAGUCGAACGAAGUGGCGAACGGGUGAGUAACGCGUAAUCAACCUGCCCUUCAGAGGGGGACAACAGUUGGAAACGACUGCUAAUACCGCAUACGGAAGGAGGGGAUUGCGUCUGAUUAGCUCGUUGGAGGGGUAACGGCCCACCAAGGCGAUGAUGAGUAGCCGGUUUGGUAGGGUGAACGGCCACAUUGGGACUGGGACACGGCCCAGACUCCGACGGGAGGCAGCCGUGGGGAAUCUUCCGCAAUGGACGAAAGGCUGACGGAGCAACGCCGCGUGAGUGAUGACGGCCUUCGGUUUGUAAAGCUCUGUUAAUCGGGACGCGGUGCCGGUAUAGAAAGCCACGGCUAACUACGUGCCAGCAGCCGCGGUAAUAC
rnacentral:rRNA from 1 species